AACGCGAAGAACCUUACCUGGGCUCGAACGGCCGGUUAACGGCGGUGGAAACACUGCUAUCCCGCAAGGGAGUCCGGUCGAGGUGCUGCAUGGCUGUCGUCAGCUCGUGUCGUGAGAUGUUGGGUUAAGUCCCGCAACGAGCGCAACCCUUGUCCUGUGUUGCCAUCCCGCAAGGGGGGACUCGCAGGAGACCGCCAGCGAUAAGCUGGAGGAAGGUGGGGAUGACGUCAAGUCCUCAUGGCCUUUAUGUCCAGGGCUACACACGUGCUACAAUGGCCGGUACAAUGCGCAGCUAAGCCGCGAGGUGGAGCCAAUCGCAAAAAACCGGUCUCAGUUCGGAUUGCAGGCUGCAACUCGCCUGCAUGAAGCUGGAAUCGCUAGUAAUGCCGUAUCAGAACGAUGGCGUGAAUACGUUCCCGGGCCUUGUACACACCGGUAUCUC
rnacentral:rRNA from 1 species